CCUACGGGAGGCAGCAGUGGGGAAUAUUGGACAAUGGGCGAAAGCCUGAUCCAGCCAUGCCGCGUGUGUGAAGAAGGCCUUCGGGUUGUAAAGCACUUUCAGUGGGGAAGAAAGCCUUGGGGCUAAUACCCUCGAGGAAGGACAUCACCCACAGAAGAAGCACCGGCUAACUCCGUGCCAGCAGCCGCGGUAAUACGGAGGGUGCGAGCGUUAAUCGGAAUUACUGGGCGUAAAGCGCGCGUAGGCGGUCUGAUAAGCCGGUUGUGAAAGCCCCGGGCUCAACCUGGGAACGGCAUCCGGAACUGUCAGGCUAGAGUGCAGGAGAGGAAGGUAGAAUUCCCGGUGUAGCGGUGAAAUGCGUAGAGAUCGGGAGGAAUACCAGUGGCGAAGGCGGCCUUCUGGACUGACACUGACGCUGAGGUGCGAAAGCGUGGGUAGCAAACAGGAUUAGAUACCCGGGUAGC
rnacentral:rRNA from 1 species